AAUAAAAAAAUUAGUUAAGCAUAGUUACUACUAGUGGUAGUGUUAGUCCUAGCUAUUUGGGAGGCUGAGGUUGGAGGAUCGUUUGAGCCCAGUAGUUGGAGGCCUCAGCGAGCUAUGAUCGCACCACUGCAUUCCUGCCUGGGCAACAGAGCAAAACCCUGUCUCUUAAAACAAAACAAACAAGGGUGGGUGCAGUGGCUUACGCCUGUAAUCCCAACACUUUGGGAGGUUGAGACGGGUGGAUCACCUGAGGUCAGGAGUUCAAGACCAGCCUGACCAAUAUGGUGAAACCCCAUCUACUAAAAAUGCAAAAAUACAAAAAUUAGCUGGGCAUGGUGAUGGGUGCCUGUAAUCCCAGCUACUCAGGAGGAUGAGAUAGGAGAAUAGCUUGAACCCAGGAGGCAGAGGUUGCAAUGAGCCGAGAUUGUGCCAUUACACUCCAGCCUGGGCAACAGAGUGAGACCCUGUCUCUUAAAAUAAAACAAACAACAUAAAACGAUGUUCUCAGAUAAUCAGAGACAUUUGACACAGACUGGGUAUUGGAAGAUAUAGAAGAACUUGAUUGAAUUUGGUGGGUUGUGCCAACGGCACAGAGGGCAGGAGAAAAAAAAAAGCUUGUCAGUUGAUGUUUAAUGCAAAUUCUUUUCAUGUCCUCACCUGGCACCUUCAUCUAUAAAGCAGCAGGAGGUUGCGUGUGGAUGUGUGAACUCUGCUGCUGGGAGAUGGAUGACAUUGCACAACCUCCUGACUGCUUUAAAACAAUGUGCUUAUCACUCAGAGAAAUGUGUGCUCCAGUAUUUACAGGCAAGUGACUUGGCAUCUAGAAUGUGCUUCAAAAUACCCAGAAGAAAAAGUAUGAGAGAAGGGGGAUAGAGGAGACAAUGUCGGGCAGUCUGCAGCUGAUGUUGUUGAAAUCAGUGUCCCCAUCCCCCAACCCCUGGAGUCUCACCGUGAGGACCAUGGACCGGCGGCGGCAGAGUGCGGCACCCACACCAAAACUGGCUACCAUGAAGAAGGAGAAGCCGCAGAAGAUGGCAAUCCAGGCACCAGCGAAGACGUCAUCCUUGCCUGAGACUCCCAUCAGUGGGUAUACACGGUACUGGUCGGCUGUCACCCAUAUGGUCUCAGCAAACAGGGACAGGCCUGACAGCUGGACAGAGCGGUGGGUUAGGAAGGUCUGCUCGGGGCCAGCAGCCCUGGCACCAGGCAUCUCCACGAGCAAGUUCCCUCCCCAUUUGGAGCCUCCACUGCCCUCUCAGUAAAGUGGGCAAAGACCUCGCCUUCCAUGAGCAGCGAUGAGGGUGAGCAGAGGCCAGGAGAGAAGAGACAGCCCAGCCAGACAACCGACCCCCACGCCCCAGCUGCCAGUUUCUUCGGGGAUAAAAGGGGAUGCCACGUGGAAAGGCUGGAGCAGUGGACUGGCACAGAGGAGAUGCUUGGUCCAUCUGCCCUCCCUUGACAGUGCUGUUAUUCCCCGAGGAGGGGAACAUGGCCAUGGCCAUAAACAUUACAAAUGGGCCAGGCAAGGUGGCUCACACCUGCAGUCCCAGCAUUGUGGGAGGCCGAGGCGGGAGGAUUGCUUGAGCCCAGGAGUUUGAGACUAGCCUGGGCAAUAGUGAGACCCCGUCUCUACAAAAAAUAAAAAAAUUAGCUAGAUGUGGUGAUGUGCACCUGUAGUCCCAGCUACUUGGGAGGCUGAGGCAGGA
rnacentral:lncRNA from 1 species